GACGAACGCUGGCGGCGUGCCUAAUACAUGCAAGUAGAACGCUGAAGAGAGGAGCUUGCUCUUCUUGGAUGAGUUGCGAACGGGUGAGUAACGCGUAGGUAACCUGCCUUGUAGCGGGGGAUAACUAUUGGAAACGAUAGCUAAUACCGCAUAACAAUGGAUGACCCAUGCCAUUUAUUUGAAAGGGGCAAAUGCUCCACUACAAGAUGGACCUGCGUUGUAUUAGCUAGUAGGUGAGGUAACGGCUCACCUAGGCGACGAUACAUAGCCGACCUGAGAGAGUGAUCGGCCACACUGGGACUGAGACACGGCCCAGACUCCUACGGGAGGCAGCAGUAGGGAAUCUUCGGCAAUGGGGGCAACCCUGACCGAGCAACGCCGCGUGAGUGAAGAAGGUUUUCGGAUCGUAAAGCUCUGUUGUAAGUCAAGAACGAGUGUGAGAGUGGAAAGUUCACACUGUGACGGUAGCUUACCAGAAAGGGACGGCUAACUACGUGCCAGCAGCCGCGGUAAUACGUAGGUCCCGAGCGUUGUCCGGAUUUAUUGGGCGUAAAGCGAGCGCAGGCGGUUUGAUAAGUCUGAAGUUAAAGGCUGUGGCUCAACCAUAGUUCGCUUUGGAAACUGUCAAACUUGAGUGCAGAAGGGGAGAGUGGAAUUCCAUGUGUAGCGGUGAAAUGCGUAGAUAUAUGGAGGAACACCGGUGGCGAAAGCGGCUCUCUGGUCUGUAACUGACGCUGAGGCUCGAAAGCGUGGGGAGCGAACAGGAUUAGAUACCCUGGUAGUCCACGCCGUAAACGAUGAGUGCUAGGUGUUGGAUCCUUUCCGGGAUUCAGUGCCGCAGCUAACGCAUUGAGCACUCCGCCUGGGGAGUACGACCGCAAGGUUGAAACUCAAAGGAAUUGACGGGGGCCCGCACAAGCGGUGGAGCAUGUGGUUUAAUUCGAAGCAACGCGAAGAACCUUACCAGGUCUUGACAUCCCGAUGCUAUUUCUAGAGAUAGAAAGUUACUUCGGUACAUCGGUGACAGGUGGUGCAUGGUUGUCGUCAGCUCGUGUCGUGAGAUGUUGGGUUAAGUCCCGCAACGAGCGCAACCCCUAUUGUUAGUUGCCAUCAUUCAGUUGGGCACUCUAGCGAGACUGCCGGUAAUAAACCGGAGGAAGGUGGGGGUGACGUCAAAUCAUCAUGCCCCUUAUGACCUGGGCUACACACGUGCUACAAUGGUUGGUACAACGAGUUGCGAGUCGGUGACGGCAAGCUAAUCUCUUAAAGCCAAUCUCAGUUCGGAUUGUAGGCUGCAACUCGCCUACAUGAAGUCGGAAUCGCUAGUAAUCGCGGAUCAGCACGCCGCGGUGAAUACGUUCCCGGGCCU
rnacentral:rRNA from 1 species